rnacentral:rRNA from 1 species
GAUGAACGCUGGCGGUAUGCUUAACACAUGCAAGUCGAACGGACUCUUCGGAGUUAGUGGCGGACGGGUGAGUAACGCGUGAGAAUCUGGCUUUGGGUUCGGGACAACCACUGGAAACGGUGGCCAAUACCGGAUGUGCCGAGAGGUAAAAGAGAAAUUGCCUGAAGAUGAGCUCGCGUCUGAUUAGCUAGUUGGUGAGGUAAAGGCUCACCAAGGCAGCGAUCAGUAGCUGGUCUGAGAGGAUGACCAGCCACACUGGGACUGAGACACGGCCCAGACUCCUACGGGAGGAAGCAGUAGGGAAUUUUCCGCAAUGGGCGAAAGACUGACGGAGCAAUACCGAGUGAGGGAAGAAGGCUCUUGGGUUGUAAACCUCUUUUCGUAGGGAAGAACAAAAUGACGGUACCUAAGGAAACAGCAUCGGCUAACUCCGUG